rnacentral:rRNA from 1 species
UACGUAGGGGGCGAGCGUUGUCCGGAUUUAUUGGGCGUAAAGAGCUCGUAGGCGGUUUGGUAAGUCGGGUGUGAAAUCUCCACGCUCAACGUGGAGGGGCCACUCGAUACUGCCAUGACUCGAGUCCGGUAGAGGAGUGUGGAAUUCCCGGUGUAGCGGUGAAAUGCGCAGAGAUCGGGAGGAACACCAGUGGCGAAGGCGGCCAUCUGGCUCAACAUUGACGCUGAGGCACGAAAGCGUGGGGAGCAAACAGG